rnacentral:lncRNA from 1 species
GUGGAGGAUUUUGAGCAGGGGGUGUAGUAGUUGCAGGAGGUGGGGUGCUUGAUGGAGGUGGGGUGAAAUCAGUGGGGGGUGGGCUCAAAGGUGGAGUACUAGUAGCAGGAGGAGGUGGUGGAGUGGAAAUGGUGGGAGGAGGGGUGGAAGUUGUUGGAGGUGGGCUCAAAGGUGGGGUGGACGUAGUUGGAGGUGGGCUCAAAGGUGGGGUGGACGUAGUUGGAGGUGGGCUCAGAGAAGGUGGGGUGGACCUAGUUGGAGGUGGGCUCAGAGAAUGUGGUGGUGGUGGCAAAAAGGGUGGAGAUUUAGAUGGCUUUGAGCAAAC